ensembl:lncRNA
GUGAGGGAUGAUGUAAGAUGGUAAAGGUGGCUAAACUGCCACAGGAGGGAUGAUUUAAGGUGGUAAUGGUGGUGAAACUGCCGGGUGAGGGAUGAUUUAAGGCGGUAAAGGUGGUGUAAGUGCCAGGUGAGGAAUCAUUUAAGGUGGUGAUGGUGGUGAAACUGCCAGGUGAGGGAUGAUUUAAGGUGGUAAAGGUGGUGGAGGUGAUGGAUGAUUUAAGGUAGUAAAGGUGAUCAAACUGCCAGGUGAGGGAUGAUUUAAGGUGGUAAUGGUGGUGAAACUGCUGGGUGAGGGCUGAUUUAAGGUGGAAAGGUGGUGAAGCUGCCGGGUGAGGAAUGACUUAAGGUGGUAAUGGUGGUGAAACUGCUGGGUGAGGGCUGAUUUAAGGUGAUAAUGGUGGUGAAACUGCUGGGUGAGGGCUG